AGAGUUUGAUCCUGGCUCAGAGUGAACGCUGGCGGCGUGCCUAAUACAUGCAAGUCGAACGAUGAAGCUCUAGCUUGCUAGAGUGGAUUAGUGGCGCACGGGUGAGUAAUGCAUAGAUAACAUGCCCUUUAGUCUAGGAUAGCCAUUGGAAACGAUGAUUAAUACUGGAUACUCCUUACGAGGGAAAGUUUUUCGCUAAAGGAUUGGUCUAUGUCCUAUCAGCUUGUUGGUGAGGUAAUGGCUCACCAAGGCUAUGACGGGUAUCCGGCCUGAGAGGGUGAACGGACACACUGGAACUGAGACACGGUCCAGACUCCUACGGGAGGCAGCAGUAGGGAAUAUUGCUCAAUGGGGGAAACCCUGAAGCAGCAACGCCGCGUGGAGGAUGAAGGUUUUCGGAUUGUAAACUCCUUUUGUUAGAGAAGAUAAUGACGGUAUCUAACGAAUAAGCACCGGCUAACUCCGUGCCAGCAGCCGCGGUAAUACGGAGGGUGCAAGCGUUACUCGGAAUCACUGGGCGUAAAGAGCGCGUAGGCGGGAUAGCAAGUCAGAUGUGAAAUCCUAUGGCUUAACCAUAGAACUGCAUUUGAAACUGUUAUUCUAGAGUAUGGGAGAGGUAGGUGGAAUUCUUGGUGUGGGGGUAAAAUCCGUAGAGAUCAAGAGGAAUACUCAUUGCGAAGGCGACCUGCUAGAACAUAACUGACGCUGAUGCGCGAAAGCGUGGGGAGCAAACAGGAUUAGAUACCCUGGUAGUCCACGCCCUAAACGAUGAAUGCUAGUUGUUGUGGAGCUUGUCUCUGCAGUAAUGCAGCUAACGCAUUAAGCAUUCCGCCUGGGGAGUACGGUCGCAAGAUUAAAACUCAAAGGAAUAGACGGGGACCCGCACAAGCGGUGGAGCAUGUGGUUUAAUUCGAAGAUACACGAAGAACCUUACCUAGGCUUGACAUUGAUAGAAUCCGCUAGAGAUAGUGGAGUGCUAGCUUGCUAGAACUUGAAAACAGGUGCUGCACGGCUGUCGUCAGCUCGUGUCGUGAGAUGUUGGGUUAAGUCCCGCAACGAGCGCAACCCUCGUCCUUAGUUGCUAACUAUUCGGUAGAGCACUCUAAGGAGACUGCCUUCGCAAGGAGGAGGAAGGUGAGGAUGACGUCAAGUCAUCAUGGCCCUUACGCCUAGGGCUACACACGUGCUACAAUGGGAAGCACAAAGAGAUGCAAUAUUGUGAAAUGGAGCAAAUCUAUAAAACUUCUCUCAGUUCGGAUUGUAGUCUGCAACUCGACUACAUGAAGCUGGAAUCGCUAGUAAUCGUAAAUCAGCUAUGUUACGGUGAAUACGUUCCCGGGUCUUGUACUCACCGCCCGUCACACCAUGGGAGUUGUAUUCGCCUUAAGUCGGAAUGCCAAACUGGCUACCGCCCACGGCGGAUGCAGCGACUGGGGUGAAGUCGUAACAAGGUAACC
rnacentral:rRNA from 1 species